rnacentral:misc_RNA from 1 species
UGAUUGCAAUCAGCAUCCACGAUCUUCUUGUAACAUGUUUGGGAUUGCUUGAGGAAAUUUCAAUGUUAUGUUGUAAGAAGAUCGUGGAUGCUGAUUGCAAUCAAAAGUGAAUUACAAGAUGCCAACAGUAUUCUACAAAAUAGUACUCAAAAGCAUUACUUGGCAUCAUUCUUAGCAAGGGCAUGAACAUGUUUCAAGGCAUCAAUUGCAUUAUCCUCGAUCUAGUUCCUGAUAAGAUUUUCAGGGUCAAAGAACAAGAACAAUGGCUUGAAUAAAAAAAAGUUCUUCAACAGAACCUAACAAACUCUUUCAUAUAUGCAAAUGCACAUCUAUAGCCUUCAAACUCGCCAAAAAAAGUUGGAAAAUAAUUUCAAGUAAUGAUUGAUCAAAAUCAAAAUUUGCUGCUUCCCACAUUACUAGCAACGGAUAUGAUGUACCAUAAUGAUUUUCAUGAUACCAUGCUCUUUCAGACAGGGAAAAUGCAACUUGCUAUUAACAUGGUGGCAUAAACAACCUUUUAUUCUCUUUUGUUCUACAACAUCAUAUUCUUUUGACUGACUGAAUACUUCACUUAGCUGCAUCAUCAUGUUCGGGAACCAUAGAAUCAUCAUUGGAAGAUGAUCCUUUUGCUGAUGGAAAGUAAGACCAUGCUAAAGCUGCAGUGCCAAGGGUAAUUACUGUAGCAAUUGAUCCCCAAACCCAUCGCUGCCUUCUUUUCCCAACCUGCCUAUUACGCCGAGCCAUCUUCUUGGUUCCUCUGAGACAUUUCUUGAUUCACAGCCUCAUAAUAAUGAAGCCGAUCCCACAAUCGAGCAAUCUCAAAGUUCUUUGCGUCAAUCUGAGCUUCUUUCUCCAUCUCCACCUCAGCUUUUGCAAUGCCCCUCCCAAUG